rnacentral:lncRNA from 1 species
AUGUUCUGGGGUGGAAUAAAGGGAGGUGGAGGGUGGGGUGCCUGGGCCCAGCCUCACUGGCUCCUGGUCCUUCUUUCUUCGGCAGGGAGUUCUGGCAAGGCCUGGGCCUGGGGAGGGGGCCUGGGUGCGGUUUUCUCCUGCGGUGUGGUUGGCUCUUUUGUCUUCCAGGAUGAGCCUGUGGGGUCUGUGUGGGGAAGGAAGGAGCUGGGAGCCUGGACUGCCUGUGUGUCUGCUGGAUGCUGCCAGGCCCAGAACAUUCCUGCUCAUGGGAAGACGGCCAGGGAACCAGCACCGGAAUGGACCAAGCAACUUCUCCGAGCCAGAUGCUGGGGAUGCAGAAGUGAACGCAGAGACAUGAUCCCAUCUGCUCGGAUCUUCAUGUCAGAACACGCUUUAUUACAGUCUCGGCGAGGGGGUGGCUCCAUCUGGGCUGCAUCUCCAGCACUCCUGGCCUGGCCUUCUCUUUGGACCUCGGGUGACCCUGGACUCUGGCCACAGUAACUUAGCGGGCAGACUCCGGUGGUUUUCUAGCACCCUGGGUGACUCCCUGAAGAUCUCACCCUCCUCACCUGUUGGGAUGGAGCCUUCCAUGGAUAGGAGCUCUUCCUGGCUGAUGCUCAGUGGACGACUGGAUCUGGCUCUGGAGGACGACUCCAGGG